rnacentral:rRNA from 1 species
CCUACGGGAGGCAGCAGUAGGGAAUAUUGCUCAAUGGGGGAAACCCUGAAGCAGCAACGCCGCGUGAGGGAUGAAGGUCUUCGGAUCGUAAACCUCUGUCAGCAGGGAAGUACGGUCACUGUGCUAAUCAGCAGUGAAUUGACGGUACCUGCAAAGGAAGCACCGGCUAACUCCGUGCCAGCAGCCGCGGUAAUACGGAGGGUGCGAGCGUUAAUCGGAAUUACUGGGCGUAAAGCGCUCGUAGGCGGUAUGUCAAGUCAAGGGUGAAAUCCCCGCGCUCAACGUGGGAACUGCCUUUGAAACUGGCAAACUGGAGUGUGUGAGAGGAUAGUGGAAUUCGAGGUGUAGGAGUGAAAUCCGUAGAUAUCUGGAGGAACAUCAGUGGCGAAGGCGACUAUCUGGCACAUAACUGACGCUGAGGAGCGAAAGCGUGGGUAGCGAACAGGAUUAGAUACCCCAGUAGUC